GUAGAAUGAAUGAAUGAGGUCAGCAACCAUGGCUGUCAAUGUGGGGAAAUAAAAAAGGAAAAGGAUACAAUUAAGUCCUGGUAAUAUGUAGAAAAUCCCCCUCCCCUGGAAAUACUGGAUAUCUAGAAGGGGAAUUGAGAGUUAUCCCACUCUAGAACUGUCAAUACCUUGUCCUGCAACAUGUAAAAAUGUCACUUGAUUGGGCAGGAUGUAAGGGAGACCCUCCACAUUAUGGUUCAA
rnacentral:lncRNA from 1 species